UCUGGUACCUUCGGUGCCCGAGUUGUAAUUUGAAGAAAGCUAUCUUGGAGGUGGCCUUUGUCUAUGUUCCUUGGAACAGGACGUCAUGGAGGGUGAGAAUCCCGUGUGAUGAGGUGUCCAUUUCCGUGUAAGAUGCUUUCGAAGAGUCGAGUUGUUUGGGAAUGCAGCUCAAAGUGGGUGGUAAAUUCCAUCUAAAGCUAAAUAUUGGCGAGAGACCGAUAGCGAACAAGUACUGUGAAGGAAAGAUGAAAAGAACUUUGAAAAGAGAGUGAAAAAGUACGUGAAAUUGUUGAAAGGGAAGGGUAUUUGAUCAGACUUGGUAUUUAGCUAUCAUCGCUCCUUGUGGGUGGUGCUCUAGCUUUUUACUGGGCCAGCAUCAGUUUUGGUGGCAAGAUAAUGACAGUUGAAUGUGGCUCCUCGGAGUGUUAUAGCUUCUGUUGAUGUUGCCUACCGAGACUGAGGUCUGCGGCUUUUGCCUAGGAUGCUGGCGUAAUGAUCCAAUACCGCCCGUCUA
rnacentral:rRNA from 1 species